UGAGGAAUAUUGGUCAAUGGUCGCAAGACUGAACCAGCCAUGCCGCGUGCAGGAUGAAGCAUCUAUGGUGUGUAAACUGCUUUUGUACGGGAAGAAACACUCCUACGUGUAGGGGCUUGACGGUACCGUAAGAAUAAGGAUCGGCUAACUCCGUGCCAGCAGCCGCGGUAAUACGGAGGAUCCAAGCGUUAUCCGGAAUCAUUGGGUUUAAAGGGUCCGUAGGCGGCUUUAUAAGUCAGUGGUGAAAUCCGGCAGCUUAACUGUCGAAUUGCCAUUGAUACUGUAGGGCUUGAAUUGUUGUGAAGUAACUAGAAUAUGUAGUGUAGCGAUGAAAUGCUUAGAUAUUACAUGGAAUACCAAUUGCGAAGGCAGGUUACUAACAAUACAUUGACGCUGAUGGACGAAAGCGUGGGUAGCGAACAGGAUUAGAUACCCUGGUAGUCCACGCUGUAAACGAUGGAUACUAGCUGUUUGGUUGUAAGACUGAGUGGCUAAGCGAAAGUGAUAAGUAUCCCACCUGGGGAGUACGAACGCAAGUUUG
rnacentral:rRNA from 1 species